rnacentral:rRNA from 1 species
UGCGUAGGUGGUCUUGUAAGCGUGGGGUGAAAGGCAGUGGCUUAACCAUUGUUAGCCUUGCGAACUGUGAGACUUGAGUGCAGGAGAGGAAAGUGGAAUUCCUAGUGUAGCGGUGAAAUGCGUAGAUAUUAGGAGGAACACCAGUGGCGAAGGCGACUUUCUGGACUGUAACUGACACUGAGGCACGAAAGCGUGGGGAGCAAACAG